GUCAGGAUAGCUCAGCUGAUUAGAGCAUGAUGCUGACACUGCCAAGGUUGCAGGUUUGAUGCCUGUAUGGGACA
rnacentral:tRNA from 1 species